rnacentral:rRNA from 1 species
UCGAACGAGUUCUCGUUGAUGAUCGGUGCUUGCACCGAGAUUCAACAUGGCACGAGUGGCGGACGGGUGAGUAACACGUGGGUAACCUGCCCUUAAGUGGGGGAUAACAUUUGGAAACAGAUGCUAAUACCGCAUAGAUCCAAGAACCGCAUGGUUCUUGGCUGAAAGAUGGCGUAAGCUAUCGCUUUUGGAUGGACCCGCGGCGUAUUAGCUAGUUGGUGAGGUAAUGGCUCACCAAGGCGAUGAUACGUAGCCGAACUGAGAGGUUGAUCGGCCACAUUGGGACUGAGACACGGCCCAAACUCCUACGGGAGGCAGCAGUAGGGAAUCUUCCACAAUGGACGCAAGUCUGAUGGAGCAACGCCGCGUGAGUGAAGAAGGCUUUCGGGUCGUAAAACUCUGUUGUUGGAGAAGAAUGGUCGGCAGAGUAACUGUUGCCGGCGUGACGGUAUCCAACCAGAAAGCCACGGCUAACUACGUGCCAGCAGCCGCGGUAAUACGUAGGUGGCAAGCGUUAUCCGGAUUUAUUGGGCGUAAAGCGAGCGCAGGCGGUUUUUUAAGUCUGAUGUGAAAGCCCUCGGCUUAACCGAGGAAGCGCAUCGGAAACUGGGAAACUUGAGUGCAGAAGAGGACAGUGGAACUCCAUGUGUAGCGGUGAAAUGCGUAGAUAUAUGGAAGAACACCAGUGGCGAAGGCGGCUGUCUGGUCUGUAACUGACGCUGAGGCUCGAAAGCAUGGGUAGCGAACAGGAUUAGAUACCCUGGUAGUCCAUGCCGUAAACGAUGAAUGCUAGGUGUUGGAGGGUUUCCGCCCUUCAGUGCCGCAGCUAACGCAUUAAGCAUUCCGCCUGGGGAGUACGACCGC